UACGUAGGUGGCAAGCGUUGUCCGGAUUGACUGGGCGUAAAGCGCACGCAGGCGGUCGCGCGCGUGGGGUGUGAAAUCUGGCCGCUUAACGGCCAGGCGCCAUCCCAUACGGCGCGACUCGAGCCCGUGAGAGGUCCACGGAAUUGCCGGUGUAGUGGUGAAAUGCGUAGAGAUCGGCAGGAACACCCAGGGGGAAACCAGUGGACUGGCACGGUGCUGACGCUCAGGUGCGAAAGCGUGGGGAGCAAACAGG
rnacentral:rRNA from 1 species